CCAGACUCCUACGGGAGGCAGCAGUGGGGAAUAUUGCACAAUGGGCGCAAGCCUGAUGCAGCAACGCCGCGUGCGGGAUGACGGCCUUCGGGUUGUAAACCGCUUUCAGCAGGGACGAAGCUUUUUGUGACGGUACCUGCAGAAGAAGCACCGGCUAACUACGUGCCAGCAGCCGCGGUGAUACGUAGGGUGCGAGCGUUGUCCGGAUUUAUUGGGCGUAAAGGGCUCGUAGGCGGUUGAUCGCGUCGGAAGUGGAAACUUGAUGCUUAACGUUGAGCGUGCUUUCGAUACGGGUUGACUUGAGGAAGGUAGGGGAGAAUGGAAUUCCUGGUGGAGCGGUGGAAUGCGCAGAUAUCAGGAGGAACACCAGUGGCGAAGGCGGUUCUCUGGACCUUUCCUGACGCUGAGGAGCGAAAGCGUGGGGAGCGAACAGGCUUAGAUACCCUGGUAGUCCACUCUGUAAACGGUGGGUACUAGGUGUGGGGUCCAUUCCACGGAUUCUGUGCCGUAGCUAACGCAUUAAGUACCCCGCCUGGGGAGUACGGCCGCAAGGCUAAAACUCA
rnacentral:rRNA from 1 species